UAGGGAAUUUUCCGCAAUGGGCGAAAGCCUGACGGAGCGACGCCGCGUGAGGGAUGAAGGUCUUCGGAUUGUAAACCUCUUUUGACGGGGAAUAAAUGUAACAAAGCUAACAUCUUUGUUGCUUGACGGUACCCGUAGAAUAAGCUACGGCUAACUCUGUGCCAGCAGCCGCGGUAAUACGGGGGGUGCAAGCGUUAUUCGGAUUUAUUGGGCGUAAAGAGCGCGUAGGCGGUUUAUCAAGUCAGAUGUGAAAGCCCUGGGCUCAACCUGGGAAGUGCAUUUGAAACUAGUAGACUUGAGUAUGGGAGAGGGAAGUGGAAUUCCUGGUGUAGAGGUGAAAUUCGUAGAUAUCAGGAGGAACACCGGUGGCGAAGGCGGCUUCCUGGACCGAUACUGACGCUGAGACGCGAAAGCGUGGGGAGCAAACAGG
rnacentral:rRNA from 1 species